CCUCUUCGGGCUCUGAUACCAGAACUAGGUAUCGUGGGUGCCUAAGGACCGACUCUGAGGGAGCUUCCCAAUUAAGAAAAGAACCGUAGUAUUUUUAACCAAUAGGAUUUGUUGGGUAUAAAAUAACCCCAGUCGAAGUUCGUAAGAGGCCAACCCUCCCAGGACUCUUCCGGCUUCCGACCUUGUGCGGCAUCUUUCUGAACUCCCCCGAUCGUCCGAGCUUCCACAGUACCAUCUGGACUCCUCCAACAGUCGACCUUCCACAGCGUCCUCCAGAUUUCUCCAACAGAUGAACUCCUAUCGUACCCUCCGGACUUCUCUAAUAAUGAGCUCCUUCAGUCAUCUAUCGGACUGCUCCAAAUGCUCUCUAGGCUUCACUAUCAGUCGAUUUUCUACAAUGAUCGACUACUCUCUGAAUCUCUUCUAGACUUCCUCCUG
rnacentral:lncRNA from 1 species